UUGUAGGUGGCCACGGCGGAGCCCCGGGGGCUGGUGACCUUGCAGGUGUAGAUGCCCAGUGCCACCACCCUGCGUGUCCCCAUGUCCGUCCCCCCACCUGCUCCGCAGGGGAUCCUUCAUCCCUACCGUCUGGGGCAGCGAGGCUGCAGAGCCCCACGAGGAAGAAGAGGAAGUAGAACCGCAUUGUCUCCAUGUCCCCACCGCAGUGACAGUGGCAGAAGUCCAGGGCGCUUCCCAGAAGAAAGGCACUGCCACCUGACUGCCUCCCUCGACUUCCCCCAGUGAGGACAUUGUCCCGUGUGACGCCAUGGGGACAUCGGGGGGAGGACGAGGAUCCCAGGGCAGGGAAAGGGCCGGCGCUGCGUGCCGUGGGGACUCAGCAGGAGAGGGGCGACCCGGGGCUGGGGGUGUCCCCAUCUCUCCGU